CUAUGUUUAUUUGAAUCAUCGUUAGUAAAUCAAAUGUAUGCCGAUUGGGGAUAAUUUCAAGUUCAUAUUUAAAUUUGUUUUAAUGUGUAUCUGUCUUCUUUAUGUCUGUAUAUCAAAACUGGCUGACGCAUUGAAAAUGGGAAACAAACCAAAUCGCUUUGGCACAAAUAAAAAAUCUUACCAUGGCUGUAAAAAUCAAUAUCAAGUUAGAAUUUCUGAAGAGGAUUACCUACCAAUGAAUCGAAGUAUGAAAGAAACCCUGUUAAAUGGAAAAAAAAUUCAGCGUGUUGUGCCAAGACCUGUCGCAUGCAAGAAUUGCAUUGUUAAAGUAGAGGAUAAUACAAACAGCAAAACUGUAGACUUUGAUGAAGGCGCAUCAUGCAAAGGAAAAGUUUUAAACGAUGAAAAUCGAAAUGACCAACAUAUAUUUAGGGACAGUUGUUACUUACAGAAUUCUUAUACGCCAUGCAAAUAUUUAUCAGAUAAAGCUGGCGUUUUAACACCAAUAGUUACAGUAAAGAAAAGUGAAAUAAAUCUAAAAUCACU